GAUGAACGCUGGCGGCGUGCCUAAUACAUGCAAGUCGAACGAACGGACGAAAAACUUGCUUCUCUGAUGUUAGCGGCGGACGGGUGAGUAACACGUGGAUACCCUGCCUAUCAGACUGGGAUAACUUCGGGAACCCGGAGCUAAUACCAGAUAAUAUUUUGAACCGCAUGGUUCAAAAGUGAAAGCCGGUCUUGCUGUCACUUAUAGAUGGAUCCGCGCUGACUUAGCUAGUUGGUAAGGUAACGGCUUACGAAGGCAACGAUGCAUAGCCGACCAGACAGGGUGAUCGGCUAGACUAGAAGGGAGACACGGCCCAGACGCCUACGGGAAGCAGCAGUAGGGAAACGUCCGCAAUGGGCGAAAACCUGACGGAGCAACGCCGCGUGAGUGAUGACGGUCUUCGGAUCGUAAAACUCUGUUAUUAGGGAAGAACAUAUGUGUAAGUAACUGUGCACAUCUUGACGGUACCUAAUCAGAAAGCCACGGCUAACUACGUG
rnacentral:rRNA from 1 species